CGAUGGAAUAUUCAUAACCAAGCAUCGACCAGCACCACCUGUUAACCCAUCCCAGAAUAUAACUCUUGACCGACAACGUUCAGGGGUAUCUCCACCUAUACUCACUUAUGAGCAACAACAGGAGGCAGUUCGGCGUGCAAAGUUUGUUUAUGAGCUAAUGAUUGACAAUGCUCCGGCUGCCAUCAUAGGUCUUGUUGGUCGUAAAGAGUAUGAACAAUGUGCAAAGGAUCUCUAUUUCUUUAUUCAGGUAAUUUUGAUCUCAGAAGGUUGAAAAUUCUCUCUCGAACCAUUUAAUCAGGUAAUUUCUUUUUAACCCCUUUUAUAGAAAACAUUGUGUUGUGUUGCUGUGUUCAUAUGGGUGCAUUGCAGUAAAGUGUGUUGUCAGGCUCAGGGGCAAGCAUAUCCAAAUCCUUCUGAUAUUAGUGAAAUACCUACUUUUAUCCUUUAAGCACCGCUUGCCCCCUGAGAUUCCGUGAACAUUUGCUAAUCUACAGAAUCUGUUUAUAAUGUAAGAUUAUUAAACCUGUUGAAAAACAUGUAAAAUCUGAGUAUGUUUCCUUCUUGAAAAAAUAUUCUGUUUGUCACAGGCUGGGAUCAAACAAUGAACUCACUGGUCGGAUACCUAACUUCAUAGGGAAUUGGUCAGCACUUCAAACCUUAGCAUCAUGAUCAACAUGGAAUCAGCAACCUUACAACUACAAGAUCAUGAAGCUACAGCUGGCUAAUACUCGUUGCAUCACAGAUGGUUCUGAUAUGGGCAUCAUAGAUGGUUCUGAUAUGAAGUCACACAUCAUCAAAUGGACUUGCUGCUACUUGAUAUCUUUUAUAAUUCAUUUACUAGAAAGUCCUUGCUUUAGCUGAGUUGUAUUGUACAUUUAUGUAAAUUUAGAAUCUGUUACAUAGUUGUGCAGAAUUUGCAGUAUUCGAUUGUCCUUUAGUUUGUUAGGAUUCCUUUACUAUUUUUAGUAUAAAGGCAGCACUACCUUGUAAUAGAAAA